ensembl:snRNA U6 U6 spliceosomal RNA
GUGCUCUCUUUUGUGACACAUAGAUUAAAUUGAAAUGAUACAGAGAUUAGCAUGGCCCUUGCACAAGGACAAUAUGAGAAAACAAAACUAAAACAGAAUCUUA